GGAGCUUUCAUCAUUCGUCCACGUCCACGUCCACGACAACAGCAACAACAACAACAAUAACUAAUGAGGGCGAUAAAUAUUGUGAUGAUAAGAAAGGGUAAAGCUACGUGAAACCAGUGAUUGAUUUUGUCUUUUCGAGUGUCUGGUGGAAACACUUUAUCGAACCAACUAAGGAAUUGACCACUGAAAUUGUUAAGUAAAAGGAAGAGUUCCUUUAAUUUUUCAAUUGCAUAGUUUUUAACUUCCUCAAUUCCCAUCUUGAUGAUCAAUAAAGAUUUUUAGAUAAUGAGAAGUGUGA
rnacentral:misc_RNA from 1 species